CCUACGGGCGGCAGCAGUGGGGAAUAUUGGACAAUGGGGGCAACCCUGAUCCAGCCAUGCCGCGUGUGUGAAGAAGGCCCUCGGGUUGUAAAGCACUUUCAGUGAGGAAGAACGCCUGGUGGUUAAUACCCAUCAGGAAAGACAUCACUCACAGAAGAAGCACCGGCUAACUCCGUGCCAGCAGCCGCGGUAAUACGGAGGGUGCGAGCGUUAAUCGGAAUUACUGGGCGUAAAGCGCGCGUAGGUGGCUUGAUAAGCCGGUUGUGAAAGCCCCGGGCUCAACCUGGGUACGGCAUCCGGAACUGUCAAGCUAGAGUGCAGGAGAGGAAGGUAGAAUUCCCGGUGUAGCGGUGAAAUGCGUAGAGAUCGGGAGGAAUACCAGUGGCGAAGGCGGCCUUCUGGACUGACACUGACACUGAGGUGCGAAAGCGUGGGUAGCAAACAGGAUUAGAUACCCCUGUAGUC
rnacentral:rRNA from 1 species